CUGCUGCCUCCCGUAGGAGUCUGGGCCGUGUCUCAGUCCCAAUGUGGCCGUCCACCCUCUCAGGCCGGCUACUGAUCGUCGCCUUGGUGGGCCGUUACCCCGCCAACAAGCUAAUCAGACGCGGACCCAUCCCGCACCGCAUACGCUUUCCGCGCGGCCCCAUGCGGGGCCGUGCGCAUAUGCGGUAUUAGCAGCCGUUUCCGGCUGUUGUCCCCCAGUGCGGGGUAGGUUGUCCACGCGUUACUCACCCGUCCGCCACU
rnacentral:rRNA from 1 species